ACAGAUACACACACUGACAGACACAGAUACACACAGACACACUGACAGACAUACACACACACACACUGACAGACAUACACACACACACACUGACAGACAUAGAUACACACACACACACACUGACAGACAUAGAUACACACACACACACUGACAGACAUAGAUACACACAGACACACUGACAGACAUAGAUACACACACACACUGACAGACAUAGAUACACACAGACACACUGACCAACAGGUUCAGAAGGGGGGCUUACCUGGGAUCCAAAGUGCUGCCUGAG